AACGAAGUGCCUGAUAUAAAAGGACAAUCUUGAUAGGAUUGCUCAUGUGCCCACCCACCUUCGUUA
rnacentral:tRNA from 1 species